rnacentral:tRNA from 1 species
GAGGGUGUAGCUCAGUGGUAGAGCGCAUACUUCCUAUGCAUGAGCUCCUGCGUUCAAUCCCCAGUACCUCCU